UACGGGGGGGUAAGCGUUGUUCGGAAUUACUGGGCGUAAAGGGCUCGUAGGUGGCCAACUAAGUCACACGUGAAAUCCCUCGGCUUAACCGGGGAACUGCGUUUGAUACUGGAUGGCUUGAGUUUGGGAGAGGGAUGCGGAAUUCCAGGUGUAGCGGUGAAAUGCGUAGAUAUCUGGAGGAACACCGGUGGCGAAGGCGGCAUCCUGGACCAAUACUGACGCUGAGGAGCGAAAGCCAGGGGAGCAAACGGG
rnacentral:rRNA from 1 species